rnacentral:rRNA from 1 species
GUUACCUUCGGGUAAUGAGGAUGGCGGACGGGUGAGUAACGCGUAAGGAACUUGCCUCUUGGACUGGGACAACUGUUGGAAACGACAGCUAAUACCGGAUAUUAUGAGAUUCUCGCAUGAGAAACUUAUGAAAGCUAUAUGCGCCAAGAGAGAGCCUUGCGUUCCAUUAGCUAGUUGGUGGGGUAACGGCCCACCAAGGCGACGAUGGAUAGCCGGCCUGAGAGGGUGAACGGCCACAAGGGGGCUGAGACACGGCCCUUACUCCUACGGGAGGCAGCAGUGGGGAAUAUUGGACAAUGGGCCACAAGCCUGAUCCAGCAAUUCUGUGUGCACGAUGAAGGUCUUCGGAUUGUAAAGUGCUUUCAGUUGGGAAGAAGAAAGUGACGGUACCAACAGAAGAAGCGACGGCUAAAUACGUGCCAGCAGCCGCGGUAAUACGUAUGUCGCAAGCGUUAUCCGGAUUUAUUGGGCGUAAAGCGCGUCUAGGCGGAAAAAUAAGUCUGAUGUUAAAAUGCGGGGCUCAACUCCGUAUUGCGUUGGAAACUGUUUUUCUAGAGUACUGGAGAGGUGGGCGGAACUACAAGUGUAGAGGUGAAUUCGUAGAUAUUUGUAGGAAUGCCGAUGGAGAAGUCAGCUCACUGGACAGAUACUGACGCUGA